AGUAGAUACUCGGCUUUUAA
rnacentral:tRNA from 2 species